rnacentral:rRNA from 1 species
GGGAGUACGCCGCAAGUUGAACUCAAAGGAAUUGACGGGACCGCACAAGCGGUGAUGAUGUGGUUAAUUGAUGCAACGCGAAAACCUUACCCACCUUUGACAUGUACGGAAGUUGCCAGAGAUGGCUUCGUGCUCGAAAGAGAGCCGUAACACAGGUGCUGCAUGGCUGUCGUCAGCUCGUGCCGUGAGAUGUUGGGUUAAGUCCCGCAACGAGCGCAACCCUUGUCAUUAGUUGCUACGAAAGGGCACUCUAAUGAGACUGCCGGUGACAAACCGGAGGAAGGUGGGGAUGACGUCAAGUCCUCAUGGCCCUUAUAGGUGGGGCUACACACGUCAUACAAUGGCUGGUACAAAGGGUUGCCAACCCGCGAGGGGGAGCCAAUCCCAUAAAGCCAGUCGUAGUCCGGAUCGCAGUCUGCAACUCGACUGCGUGAAGUCGGAAUCGCUAGUAAUCGUGGAUCAGCAUGUCACGGUGAAUACGUUCCCGGGUCUUGUACACACCGCCCGUCACACCAUGGGAGCGGGUCUCGCCAGAAGUAGUUAGCCUAACCGCAAGGAGGGCGAUUACCACGGCGGGGUUCGUGACUGGGGUGAAGUCGUAACAAGGUAGCCGUA